UUUGUUUGAGACACAAUUGUUAGAUUAGAUCAAAUAAUUAUACUGACAACGCUGUAAAUUAUAAACUAGUAGGAAAAUAGGCCCUGUUCCGUACGCCGCAAGUGAAACACCCCUGCUCCUGCACUUCACUCUACCAAUGCAACGCUCUGCAACGAUACAAGCAUAUGCAGUUGAAAACCAGUUAUCGGACGGCAUGCUAAAGCCCGUUAGCCGACACACGCACACAAAGGCGCAUCGGGAGAGGACUCCGGGCAGCCAAAUAAACGUCGCGUCGCACAACGAAAAAACAACACUCACAUCUAUCCAGUAGGCGACAAUCACAACCCACUGCGAGAGGAGAGAGAAUGAAUAAAAAACAGAAGAAAAUCUACACACGACACUGCUGAAUGUCAGAAAAUCACGCGGGAGAAAAGGAUGGCCACAACUCUCUCGUUUGUUCGACUGCUCUGAACGCAGCACUGAUCUCCAACCAACGCGCGUCGGGUAAAAGAUAGAGAAUCGUCAGAUAGUUCACAUUCUCCAGAGGAACAAGUCGUGCGCGAUCUACCGUCGUCGCGUUCCGUGAGCUUAAGUAGUGAUCAGUACGGCAAAAGUUAAAACACGCGGUAGCGACUGACCUUUGAGCGGUUUGCAGUAGCUCGGUCGCGAAUCCAUUUAGUCGGUUCGCAGUUUGAAAACCGGUGUUUAAGCGCAUCCAAACCCGCUGUGCGGUGAUUAAACACGGCACUGGGUCUAAUAGAAGCCGUUAGAGAGUAUUUAACGCCAAGUCAGGAUUGUCGUUUCCACUCCGUGCGCCGGAGAUCAAGGCGGAAGUUUUCAGCAGCAAUUUAGUUGCCCGGGACGACAAAAAAGACCAGUGAGUUCACACGACGACACGACGCCUCGAGGAAGAAGAAAGGAACAAUCGCACCAUUCGAGCACGUGCCAGUGGUUCCUAAACGCCCCUCUGUUGUUUUGACACGCCAACAAAGGAAACCAUCUCUUCGUCGAAAAAAAAGGCCCCUUCACAGGGGUCUUUUCGGCGGAUCUUAUUCCGUAGAUUUGGUCCUUUUGUUUGGCAGGUGGUGAUCGUCAGCUCGUUGGGGAUUAGGACGAAGGUGGAUUGCGGUUCAAGCCAGGAAGUCACGCCAGGGCUCGCGUUGACCGUUGACGCCGAAAGACAGUGUGCGUAGAAAGCAUUGAUGCUUAGUAUACCUGCGAACUCAGCGAGGGAGUGAAGCGUGGUCUGCUAGGUGGCCAGUACGAUCGACGCGGGAGUCGGAGGCAAAGCUCGGAGACUAGAAGCCGGCAAGGCUGGCGUGGUAGUGUGUGUGCGCGAAGCGGAUUCAGAGCCAGCAUGCAGGAAGAAUGUGGCGUACGGAGGCGGCAUAGAUCGCGAAGCAACUAUUCUUAAUACAGUAAGACGGGCCCGUCCGUGAGUAAAACUAGUUUUAGUAUGAAAAAUAGCCAUUAGAAAACAGCGUAGGAUUAUUAGCCAAGAGCUAAGAAGAGAACCAAGUUCGGAUGAACAAUAAACGUAUGUAAAAUGUAA